rnacentral:rRNA from 1 species
GAGCUAUAGUAUGUACAGGUUGGAGUGAAACUGUAAUAUCAUUUUCUACGGUAAGAGAUCUGCGCAGGGAUCAUUAGCGAGUUUAGAACGUCCGAAACGCCUGUGAACAUACCUAUACGUUGCCUCGGCGGAUCAGCCCGCGCACGUAAAACGGGACGGCCCGCCCGAGGACCCCUAAACUCUGUUUUUAGUGGAACUUCUGAGUAAAACAAACAAAUAAAUCAAAACUUUCAACAACGGAUCUCUUGGUUCUGGCAUCGAUGAAGAACGCAGCAAAAUGCGAUAAGUAAUGUGAAUUGCAGAAUUCAGUGAAUCAUCGAAUCUUUGAACGCACAUUUGGCCAGUAUUCUGGCGGGCAUGCCUGUUCGAGCGUCAUUUCAACCCUCAAGCUCAGCUUGGUGUUGGGACCGGUAACCCGCGUUCCCCAAAUCGAUUGGCGGUCACGUCGAGCUUCCAUAGCGUAGUAAUCAUACACCUCGUUACUGGUAAUCGUCGCCACGCCGUUAAACCCCAACUUCUGAAUGUUGACCUCGGAUCAGGUAGGAAUACCCGCUGAGUGAUCUCUCCUCC